rnacentral:rRNA from 1 species
GAUGAACGCUGGCGGCGUGCCUAAUACAUGCAAGUCGAGCGAACAGACGAGGAGCUUGCUCCUCUGACGUUAGCGGCGGACGGGUGAGUAACACGUGGAUAACCUACCUAUAAGACUGGGAUAACUUCGGGAAACCGGAGCUAAUACCGGAUAAUAUAUUGAACCGCAUGGUUCAAUAGUGAAAGACGGUUUUGCUGUCACUUAUAGAUGGAUCCGCGCCGCAGUAGCUAGUUGGUAAGGUAACGGCUUACCAAGGCGACGAUGCGUAGCCGACCUGAGAGGGUGAUCGGCCACACUGGAACUGAGACACGGUCCAGACUCCUACGGGAGGCAGCAGUAGGGAAUCUUCCGCAAAGGGCGAAAGCCUGACGGAGCAACGCCGCGUGAGUGAUGAAGGUCUUCGGAUCGUAAAACUCUGUUAUUAGGGAAGAACAAAUGUGUAAGUAACUAUGCACGUCUUGACGGUACCUAAUCAGAAAGCCACGGCUAACUACGUG